rnacentral:lncRNA from 1 species
CUAUAAUAUUAUUUGAGAAGUCACUUUCCUAGGUGUCGCGUUCACAUUAACUCUCACGAUGGUUGAUUACAAUGAUACCCUUAAUGAAAUAAAAAAGUAUAUUUAAAUAUUAUUAUUUACUUUUUAAAAUUUUCUAAAUAAUAAUAUAAAUAAAAAGGAAACAUUUAUAAAGUUUAAAAAUAAUUUUAAAACGAAAUAUAUAUAAUAUGAUUUCAUAAAAAAAAAAAAAAGUUCACAAAAUAGUAAUAUUUCAUUUAAAAGAUAUCUUUAAGUAACAAAAAAUAUACUUUUGAAGUAAUAACAUACUUU